rnacentral:rRNA from 1 species
GAUGAACGCUGGCGGCGUGCCUAAUACAUGCAAGUCGAGCGAACAGACGAGGAGCUUGCUCCCCUGACGUUAGCGGCGGACGGGUGAGUAACACGUGGAUAACCUACCUAUAAGACUGGGAUAACUUCGGGAAACCGGAGCUAAUACCGGAUAAUAUAUUGAACCGCAUGGUUCAAUAGUGAAAGACGGUUUUGCUGUCACUUAUAGAUGGAUCCGCGCCGCAUUAGCUAGUUGGUAAGGUAACGGCUUACCAAGGCGACGAUGCGUAGCCGACCUGAGAGGGUGAUCAGCCACACUGGAACUGAGACACGGUCCAGACUCCUACGGGAGGCAGCAGUAGGGAAUCUUCCGCAAUGGGCGAAAGCCUGACGGAGCAACGCCGCGUGAGUGAUGAAGGUCUUCGGAUCGUAAAACUCUGUUAUUAGGGAAGAACAAAUGUGUAAGUAACUAUGCACGUCUUGACGGUACCUGAUCAGAAAGCCACGGCUAACUACGUG